rnacentral:tRNA from 1 species
GGGGAUAUGGCGCAGUGGUAGCGCGUCUGCUUUGCAUGCAGAAGGUCUGGGGUUCGAAACCCCAUGUCUCCA